AUGGAGCCGACCCUUCUGCAAUACAAAGUGCUGAUUCAUGUACACGAGGUCUCUGACUACACUGCUGCCGACGAGCCUCUGUUCUUGAGAUCGUCCUCUGGCAGCAAUCAAAGCAGGCUGCCUGAUGAGCCGAGUGCGGCGGACAUGGGUGGAGGAAGAGGAGCCACCACAGUGCACGGGGAUUGGCGCUUCGGAGUGCGGGAUGAGAGGGGAAGUGGCGGAGCCAACGGUGGUCAGGUAUGGGGCGACGGCACAGGAGCGGUGGCGGCCGCCGGGGAGAUGACCGGAGCUGGGCAGGAAUGGAAGUUACCCCACAUGCAGCUUACGCCAGAGGGCCCACCUUGCGGCUUUGGGUCAGUGCAUGACCGGGUCACCAUCAGGACCUCGGCGUUUGACCGUUUGACUGGACAGGUGGCGACGCGGCCAUCAGUGCUCGCCAGGCAGGAUCAGGAUUUGAACGAUGGGAUGGGGCGUGCAGAUCGGUGUGGCGAGGGCGGGACGCCGAGUGCGCCAAUCAUUGAGGCCGCUAGACAGGACUUGCCCAUUGUGAAGGAGGCGGAUCACCCAAUGAGGCAGGAGGGGACAAACCAGGAAAAAGAGGCGGGCCAGGCACUGGAUGGAUCAGCUGACAAUGAAUGGGAGGCGGCCUCGAGGCCGGUGCGGCUAGUGGACAGAUGCGAGACCCUCAUUAAUGCGCAUGGUGGGGCCAUGGUGACUGCUCAAAAGGAGCCGCUGCUAUUGGGCGGGCCAGCAGAGCCGGUGGGGCUGGUGGUGGCCCCCGUAGGCAGGGCAGCAUCUACCUUGGUGCAUGAGCCAGCCUAUCCUCUCGUGGUGGGGACGGAUCAGGAGUGGUUGCCGGGGGAUCAGGACAAGCAAGGGGAAGGUUCGGCGGAGGGACAGAAAAUUGCAGUGGAGGUGGCCAAUGCACGUGGGCCCAGGCAACAGGACAUGGGGGAAUCUGCGCCAGCGCAACCACCAAUGGGCGCUGCAUGUGUGGCCAUGCAGGAUGGCACAUCCCCAUGCAUGGGUGGAGAUCACGUAAACUCGCCUUUGGAGCCAGGAAACACGGAGCUUCAAGCGAUGGUUCUGCAUAAUUGCACGGUGGAAACUGCGGGCAUGACAGCAUUGGAGGCAGUGGCAUAUAACAAACUGAAGGGGUUCUGCUCCAACAUCAUCAAGAAAUUGGCGCCGCCUUUGCUUAAGGAAGUGCAAGCAGCCAAGUUGAGGCCGGAGGCGACGCCUUUCACACCAAAGCGUACAACCCGGGCAACAAAGAAAUCGACUGCGAGCUGCACAAAGGACAGACCGGCUAAGAACGUCCUAUUGCACGCACUUGGUUUUGUGCCGGACGAUAUGGUGGCGGAUGAUGGGAUGGUGCAUGAACUGCAGGCUCUGUUCGAUUCGCCAUUAUGA
rnacentral:rRNA from 1 species